UUCAGCCGACAUGCUGAGCACAGCCCCUGGUCCCUGCACGGCCAGCGUUAGCCCAGCCCUGCUUGUCCCCUGCCACAACUGCUGAGCAGCGCCUGCAGCAGAAAUCCAGGUCAGUUUGUGGCACCUGGAUGGGAGACAGUCACUACACCCCUAAGCAGGCUCUGGGAGAGGUCUCCAUCGUGCCUGCUGCGUCCUUCCUGGAGCACGGGAGAACGCCCAGGGUAGAAGCAGGAUUUCCCUUCCUCCACGCUCCUCCUCUCCAGCAGGGCUGCUGUGCCCAGUGCUGCUGACUCAGAAAUGCAGGGGUCAGGAGGCACGGAGAGGGGUCAAAUCCCAGAUUUGGCAGGAUGAGAGCUUUAAUACAAUGCCCCAGCUCUGGUCCCAACAGCAGAACCUGCAGCUGGAGUCUUUCCUUAAAGGUGUGGGGUCAGAGGGACUCCGGUGGGAAUGGCACCGCCACGAGGAGAGCUCACAUCUGACUCAUCAGCUCAGGCGACAAAUCCUCCCUAAAAAAACACCGACAGAGGAAAAACCCUCCACAUUUCUUACCUGUCACCCCCUGGAGCAUCAGGAGGAGCAGAGCACAGAGGACAGGCAGGAUCCGCAUGCCUGGGAGUCCCCAGCAGAGUCGCAGCUCUGGGGAGAAGAGAAAGGAGGCAGAGGUCUGAAAGCUCUGGAUCAGAUGGGAACCCAAAGGUUUCAGAGCAGAGAUGCUGUGAAGUGUCACACUGGAGAAGACUUUUGUGCUCCCAGUGGAAAUGGUGACUGAUCUCAGCCAUGACAGAGAAUUCCCUAGCAGGCAUGUGUGGAGUGCUUGUCAGGAGCCCCAGAGGGGUAAAUAUUUUGGUGAACUACACAUUCCUGGCAGGUCUAGAUUAAUUUCACAAUUCUUGUUUAAAAUUCUUAAUGGAAAUAAGACAUGGGAAAUGAAUGGGAAAUUAAUUACUUUUGGAAAUGAUUGACAACACCACACAGGGCAGCCAUGCAACCUCCCCACAUCUUGCUUUUAUUGAAAGGAGAAUGACAAAUCCUUGGUUGCUGCUGCAACAAUUCCUUGAAUCCAACGAUAUCAAAAGCAAUCACUCCUGGAGAUGCUCCACAAUUAGCCACACUAGAGCCUACAAAGGAAAGGAUAUUCAGAAUUAUGAUUAUGAGGAAAAUCCUGCUGUUUGGGAUUCCAGUGAUAAUUUGGGAAGUCAUCUUUGCCCCAGACAAAUCCUGAACUUACCACCUACAGCAACUGUACCCAGAACGACACGACCCCAGGUAAUCGUUGCCACGAGGGCAUUUCCCCCUGUGGCAGAAGGUCCCACGAUACCCACACUCCAUGUAAGGCCUCCUGGGCCUUGCCAAGCUUCUACCUUAAAAAAGAACAAAAAACCAAAUAAAUAAACAAAAGAUGGGAGACAUUUUAUUUCCGGCAGGGAUUUGCAUUUUGCUUAAUCCCUGUGAGCUGACAAGGACGUGACAGUUCAGUCCUCAGAGGAGGAGGUCUGUGGGCACAAUGACCAAGCAAACACUCUUAAUUCCUUCUUUCCUGCCAAAAUAGGAUACCCACAAUUCAAACUGCCAUUGGGAACGGCCACCAGCCUGUGCUAUUCCCAGAACAGGUUUUAUCCAUGAAGGUGCUAAUUGUCAGGGAUCAAAACAACCCCAGGGAGCAGACCAGCAAUUAGGCAGGAGGUUGCCUGGCCCUGUUUGGUCGAUUAAUAAAGAUGCAGCCUGGCAGCUGAAGUGUUCUGGAGGCACCUGACUGAGUGCACAUGAACCAAUUAAUUCCAGUUUCCAGCUCAUCCAUGGAACAUUGCAAAGUAUUCAGAGAGAGGGGAGCUUGUUCCAGCAAACAGGAAAUGGAUAUUAAAUAUGGACAGUGCAUCCUGCACAUCUCUGGUGGGCUGGAUUCCCAGCAUGUCAGAUAUAUACACACCCAGAAAAUCCCAGGGAGUAAUAAAGGAGUGGUUUAAAGGGUGAAUAAAACAUUCCUGGUCUCAAACUAGCAGUCUGUGAGGCAUUGUGAGCAGUCUGAGCUCUCAGGAGCACUUUUCUUCCCAGAUACAGGUAAUUUUCUGGCUUUAAUACACCCAGAAGGUCCUACUGAAAACAGGCCAGACAUCCCCUGUGUGGUAAAUAAGGACAUAAAACAGGCCAAAAGAACUCUUUGCCCAGUGUCCUGCCUCUGGGAACUGGCACAGGCAGAGGCCCAGGAGGCAGCUUGGUCACAUCCCAAAGGGGACAGGAGAGCUUUGCAAGACAUCAACAUCUUCUCUUUAGUCCCUCACCUUACCUGCAGCUCCGUGAAAUGCCACCAAGAGGAGAACAAGGAGAAAAGGAAGGAUUUUCAUGGCAGAGGGUGGGCUGGGAUCCUGGGUCACUGCAGAGAAAGGAGACCAGGACAUUGGUUAGAGCCUUGUCCCUCCAUAGUCCCAGAUGUGACACAGAGAAAUGUUCUUCAGGACCUGGAAGUUACCUAAAAGAGGUUAUUACACAUUUUUGUCAUCAUCGUGUCUAUUGUUUUAAGAUUUUCCUGGAGCACACAUAGAAUCAUGGCAUAGGAAGAAACUUCCAUGCAAAAAAUUCAAUUUUAAAUCCCUUUUAAUUAAUGCUUUAAGUGACCAGCAAUUUAUCCUGGAUUUCUUGAUAACCUGCAGUGCAUUGCAAUAAAUUUGAUUUGCCUUAUGGAAGGUAAAGCUGCUAAUUCAGAAAAUAAGACAAUUUUUGCUACAUUUAUACAAAACAACCCCAUGGGUUUUCUCAAGCUUUUCUACUUAAAAAAAAAAGAGCUGAAAAAGCAAUUUUCUUCCCAAUUAACCCAAAAGCCAGCUUCUCCUUAUUCUUUCUUGGACACUGUUGUUAUUCUUCCCCUCAAGAAUUACAUUUUUUCCAGGAUAAAUUUUUGAGUAUUUGCAUUUCCUGCUGCCAACAAAAACUCCUCUCCCUUAUCAACAUUUGACACCUCUAGAACUGGCUCAUGACAGACUGGAGCCACAGAGCAGUUAAGGCUAUAAAACAAAAUAAAUAAACAUGAUAAGCUAAACAUUAAAGACAUGAAGUCUCCACCCGUUUAAGAAGGACAAAACCAUUUGAAAGAGGCUGAAUAAUGAGAAUAUUUUGGCUGUUACCAGGUAGGAGGAGCUCUAGGCUGGAACAGUCCCAGGAUCAGUGUCAGCCACCCGGAUGAAGAUGAAGGAGCAGAGCUGGGUGGGUUUGUGCUGUUUCUGGAGGGAUGUUUGACCUCCACAGCCUUCUGGUGGCCAAUGAGGCUUUGGGGAGCUCUGGGGACACCCAAUGAAUCCUCUUUGCUGUUGUCCUAAGAGGAACCAAGGUCUGGCUUUCAAAGCAUUGCGGCAUCGCCUCGGGAAAUGUGUUGAGAUGAUAAAAACCACCCUGGGCUCCUCCCUUUGAGCAACCCUUUGGCCACAGCAGCUCACUCAAGGAAUGUUUCCAUCUGUUUUCAGAGGUUUUAUAUUUCCUUUACAAGCAUGAACAAUAUAUCAUCAUAGAAGUAAAAUAAUCAUCAGCUGGAAUGUUAAAAUAAAACCCACCAAACCUA